rnacentral:misc_RNA from 1 species
GGUAGCGUUGCCCCAGUCGUUGGCCGUGGGGGUAGUAUUGCCAGGGCCGAUAGGGCAGCAUCCUCUGUUGCUCCUAAAUAAAUGAUCGGUCCCAUUUGUAAAGGUAAAAGUAUUAGAAACGUAGAGGACAUUAGAGUCUGAGUAUUCGUGUGUAGGACCAGUUCGUGUGAUGUCAUUGGAGUGGUGUGAUUAUAGAUUAGUGUUAGACAUGUAGUAUUACGAUCAACAACAAAACUUAGCUCAUGAUGUCAUGUUUUAUUUACAUCCCCCAUGAUGGAGUAUGACCAAUCAGAUAGAGUAAGUGAUGUUCAUUGACCCAUCUAAACGUCCCAUUCCCAGAGUUGUCCCAGACAUUAAUGUUCCAUGUUGAUUUACAAAUUUUGCAAAUGAAAUGAAACUGAUUAUAGCAUGCGAAAACAAAAAAGAUUUCCAGAAAACACCAAACUUUCCUAUAUAACAAUGAUCCAAACUCUUAAAAAAGGGCAUGUUGAUUUGUCGAUUUGAGUUUGUUAAAUACGAAAUUUUCCUCUUACCACUACUACAGUUUUAUGUGAAAUGUAAAAUUUAAAAAGCAAAUGAGACAAAUUUCCCCCUUAAACCAAGGCAUGUGAACUUGUGUUCAAGUCCUUCAAGUCCUGUAAACUGACUACGUCAUAUCCUCCCACUGUUAACUGAAUACGUCAUAUCCUCCUCUACUGUUUACUGACUACGUCAUUUCCUCCUCCUCUUCCACAGACCAGACAGUCCGAGUAAUCGUAAGUCUCCUCUGCUGAUUGGUUGGUUGUUUUCUAAUUUUUUUCUUCCAUGAAUUCAUUUACAACCUGACAACAAAGUCCGUUUAAAACUUCAUCACAUCCUCUGCAUUUAACAUAUGUUCAUGCUUCAAGCAUGGUGUUGAUUGUUGUUUGAUCUUUUCACACACUGUUUGGUUAAGAAAAAAAUCAUGUUACUUUAAAAUAUACAAUUCAAAUUUUCCCCCUAAAAGACCACAGUUGCGUGUUUGAUAUCUGCGCAUGUCGCCUCCACCCUACGUUGUGUGACACUAGACGACAGUUUUAUAUAACAGGAACAUCAUCUACAGAAUUCACAUACAUUUGUGUGUGUUUGUGGUUUUGUUUUCUUUAUUUGUGAGUUUGUAAAUUGGUGGAUUUAAUUAUAUUAAAGAUUUGCAUUCAAUGGAUGAAUAAAAAAAAGAAUUUAAUAUUUAUUGUACAUACCUUAAUGACGAAAUUUUUAAAAACUUUUUUUUUUUGUUUUUACAGGGGCCAAGCUCGAACCCAAAUUUUCUGUCACCACGCAUGCGCGCAUCUUCUUCUUAUCGCUCUGUCACCCCUUCUUUUGAUAUUAAUAAUGACAGCUAUUGAAAAGUGCCGGAAUUGUGCAAUAUGUAGCUUUAGCAAAUGCGCCCCAUCGUCAACAAAUAGACACUGUGAGAUUACCAAUGGGAGAAAGAACGUGAAAAUAAAUUUUAUUAAUAUUUAGCAUGGACUCUCUGUGAAUGUGCAGUUUUUUUUUAUUUAUACAUUGUUCAUUUUGUCUUGAAGUCUUAAAAUCGGGUACAGCGUCUAUCACUUCUAUAGGUUUGAGUGUACUUGAUGUAUUAGCACAAUGAAACAACGAUUUAUAUUUUUUUGGUUUCUGUUGUGUUUUGUGACAUAGACAAUAAAGCUAUUGUAUUUAU